UUGGCCUACGGGAGGCAGCAGUGGGGGAUAUUGCACAAUGGGGGAAACCCUGAUGCAGCGACGCCGCGUGAGUGAAGAAGUAUUUCGGUAUGUAAAGCUCUAUCGGCAGGGGAGCAAAAAAUGACAGUAACUGACUAAGAAAGCCCGGCUAACUACGUGCCAGCAACCGCGGUAAUACGUAGGGGGCAAGCGUUAUACGGAUUUACUGGGGGGAAAGGGAGCGUAGGCGGCCAUGCAAGUCAGAAGUGAAAA
rnacentral:rRNA from 1 species